UUAGGAAAUUUUGCCAAUGGGGGAAACCCUGAGCGAGUAACGCCGCGUGGAGGAUGACGGCCUUCGGGUUGUAAACUCCUUUUUUGUGGGACGAUGAUGACGGUACCACAAGAAUAAGCCCCGGCUAACUACGUGCCAGCAGCCGCGGUAAUACGUAGGGGGCGAGCGUUGUCCGGAAUUACUGGGCGUAAAGAGCGCGUAGGCGGCGCCAUAAGUUCCGUGUGAAAGCCCCCGGCUCAACUGGGGAGGGUCGCGGAAGACUGUGGUGCUGGAGUGUCGGAGAGGGAAGUGGAAGUCCCGGAGUAGGGGUGAAAUCCGUAGAUACCGGGCCGAACACCAGUGGCGAAGGCGACUUCCUGGCCGACGACUGACGCUGAGGCGCGAAAGCGUGGGGAGCGAACGGGAUUAGAUACCCCGGUAGUCC
rnacentral:rRNA from 1 species